CUGCCUACACAUGCAAGUCGAACGAGACCUUCGGGUCUAGUGGCGCACGGGUGCGUAACGCGUGGGAAUCUGCCCUUGGGUUCGGAAUAACAGUUGGAAACGACUGCUAAUACCGGAUGAUGACGUAAGUCCAAAGAUUUAUCGCCCAGGGAUGAGCCCGCGUAGGAUUAGCUAGUUGGUGGGGUAAAGGCCUACCAAGGCGACGAUCCUUAGCUGGUCUGAGAGGAUGAUCAGCCACACUGGGACUGAGACACGGCCCAGACUCCUACGGGAGGCAGCAGUGGGGAAUAUUGGACAAUGGGCGAAAGCCUGAUCCAGCAAUGCCGCGUGAGUGAUGAAGGCCUUAGGGUUGUAAAGCUCUUUUACCCGGGAUGAUAAUGACAGUACCGGGAGAAUAAGCCCCGGCUAACUCCGUGCCAGCAGCCGCGGGGUAAUACAUA
rnacentral:rRNA from 1 species